CUACGGGGGGCUGCAGCGGGGAAUAUUGGACAAUGGGGGAAACCCUGAUCCAGCAAUGCCGCGUGUGUGAAGAAGGCCUGCGGGUUGUAAAGCACUUUCGGUUGGGAGGACUGCUUCUAGCACUAAUAUUGUUGGAAGUUGACGUUACCUUCAGAAGAAGCACCGGCUAACUCCGUGCCAGCAGCCGCGGUAAUACGGAGGGUGCAAGCGUGAAUCGGAAUUACUGGGCGUAAAGCGCGCGUAGGCGGCUAGAUCAGUCGGGUGUGAAAGCCCCGGGCUUAACCUGGGAACUGCAUCCGAUACUGUCUAGCUUGAGUAGAGGAGAGGAGAGUGGAAUGCCACAUGUAGCGGUGAAAUGCGUAGAUAUGUGGAGGAACACCAAUGGCGAAGGCAGCUCUCUGGCCUGAUACUGACGCUGAGGUGCGAAAGCGUGGGGAGCAAACAGGAUUAGAUACCCCCGUAGUC
rnacentral:rRNA from 1 species